GCUUAUAUAUUUCAAGCCCCGACCAGACAUCUGGAGCAACGUCAUCACGUAGAGGCCGUGAGCCCUCAGAUCCACAUGGAGGAUUAGCCAAUCCGGUCAUCACAGUGAUAGAUCUGAGCAGCUAGUGCCGUGACAAACAGCAAGUUUGCCUCAAGCUUUUGCAUUGGUGAUGCACUUGGAUUGUCCCCAAGUAUGGUAACAGGACAGAGCACAUUGGCUGUUCCAGCCACUGAACAUGGUCUCGCAGCACAGAAAUCAGAAGGAAGGAUGGAGGGGCAAUGCAUUUAAAAGUGUACAGCGACCUAUUUUUAGGCAUGCGCCUACAAAGGUACAAACUACAACGAUGAGACGAGGCAAAGUUUUAAAAGAGAGCACCAGCUGGAAUAACGAUGCUGCUGUACAGAAGAGAACGAGGAGUGAGGAAUAGAGUUGUAAUGACAAGACUGGAUAAACUGGAACUGCGGCUUCUUUCAUCAAUUAGAGGAUAAUAAGUAUAUUCUCAUAAUAAGUAUAUUCUCAAUAUGGCACAACAUGUACUCGGUUCAUUUGUAGUUUUCUUUGUGAGUCACUUCUGGUUUACAUCAGAACGCAACCCGAUACUGCAAAAUCUAAAAUAAAUGGGAAUUAAUUGGAUGUCUUUGGAAUGGCUUGACAUGUUUUUAUCAGUUUUAAGCCUGGUUAAUAAUGCUUUGACUAAACUGUUAGGCAUCCAGUCGUCAGAAGCUCUGCUGCUAGAUGUGCGUUUCCUUCAACA